CCGUGACUGCCUCCAACCCUGUUGUUUCCUCUCUGGCUCACCCUUAGCUGUCUCUGAUUAGGGAUUGCCGCAAUUUGAUUUGAGAUUCACUCAGAAGUCUGGUCUAAGUUCAGCGGCAGGGAAGUUCCUGGUGCUGUCAGGUCAGAGAAUGAUAGGCGUCUGCAGAGUAUUGGGGAACAGGAG
rnacentral:lncRNA from 1 species